CUAAAUACUCCUUAGUGACCGAUAGCGCAUAGUACUGUGAAGGAAAGGUGAAAAGGACCCCGGGAGGGGAGUGAAAGAGAACCUGAAACCCUGUGUUUACAAGCUGUGGGAGCACGUUAAGGUGCGACCGCGUACUUUUUGUAGAACGGUCCGGCGAGUUGCCGUUGCUGGCAAGGUUAAGCACUUAAGGUGUGGAGCCGAAGCGAGAGCAAGUCUGAAAAGGGCGAAACAGUCAGCACAGGCAGACCCGAAACCGGGUGACCUAUCCAUGUCCAGGUUGAAGUUUCCGUAAAAGGAAAUGGAGGACCGAACGCACAUCCGUUGAAAAGGGUGGCGAUGAGGUGUGGAUAGGGGAGAAAUUCCAAUCGAACCCGGAGAUAGCUGGUUCUCCUCGAAAUAGCUUUAGGGCUAGCCUCAUAUUAGUCUCAUGCAGGUAGAGCACUGAAUUCUUGCGGGGGAGUCGAAUCCUACCAAGAGAUAUCAAACUCCGAAUGGCAUAGAGAUGAUGUAUGGGAGUCAGACGGCACGAGAUAAGUUGGGUCGUCAAAAGGGAAAGAGCCCAGACCUACAGCUAAGGUCCCAAAGUGUGUGUUAAGUGGAAAAGGAUGUGGGAUUUCAGAGACAACUAGGAUGUUGGCUUAGAAGCAGCCACACAUUCAAAGAGUGCGUAAUAGCUCACUAGUCGAGAGGUCCUGCGCCGAAAAUGUCCGGGGCUAAAACACAACACCGAAGCUUAGGAAUGUCGUAAGACAUUGGUAGAGGAGCAUUCUUAAAGGAACGAAGCAGUACCGACAAGGAGCUGUGGACUUUUAAGAAGAGAGAAUGCCGGAAUGAGUAGCGAGAUGGAGGUGGGAAUCCUCCAGGCCGAAUAUCCAAGGUUUCCAGAGUAAAGCUGAUCUGCUCUGGGGAAGUCGGGGCCUAAGGCGAGGCUGAAAAGCGUAGUCGAUGGACAACAGGUUGAUAUUCCUGUACCAUCUGUCAUCAGAACUGUGGGGACACAGAAGGAUACUGCAAGCCAGGAAUGAAAAGACUGGCGCAAGCGUAGGAGGAGUGAGGUUAGAAAACCUGCCUCAUAAUCCAAAGACGUGAUGCGGAGCGAACAAAAGUAGCGAAGUGCAGGAUUCCAGCUGUCGAGAAAAGCCGCUAUUGCGUGACAGAUGCCCGUACCGUAAACCGACACAGGUGGAUGAGGAGAGAAUCCUAAGGCCGGCGGGAGAAGCAUUGUUAAGGAACUCGGCAAAAUGACCCCGUAACUUCGGGAGAAGGGGUGCCCACUUCAGGGUGGGCCGCAGAGAAUAGGCUCAAGCAACUGUUUAGCAAAAACACAGGUCUAUGCGAAACCGAAAGGUGAAGUAUAUGGGCUGACGCCUGCCCGGUGCUGGAAGGUUAAGAGGAGAGGUUAGAGAAAUCGAAGCUUUGAAUUUAAGCCCCAGUAAACGGCGGCCGUAACUAUAACGGUCCUAAGGUAGCGAAAUUCCUUGUCGGGUAAGUUCCGACCCGCACGAAAGGCGUAAUGAUUUGAGCGCUGUCUCGACAAUGCAUCCGGUGAAAUUGAAGUACCAGUGAAGAUGCUGGUUACCUGCGCCAGGACGGAAAGACCCCAUGGAGCUUUACUCUAGCUUGAUACUGGGAUUCGGUAUUGCAUGUACAGGAUAGGUGGGAGGCAGAGAAGCAAGGACGCCAGUCUUUGCGGAGCCGCUGUUGGGAUACCACCCUUGUGGUACUGGAUUUCUAACCUACGCCCAUAAGCUGGGCGGGGGACAAUGUCAGGUGGGGAGUUUGACUGGGGCGGUCGCCUCCGAAAGGGUAUCGGAGGCGCUCAAAGGUUCCCUCAGAAUGGU
rnacentral:rRNA from 1 species